rnacentral:SRP_RNA from 1 species
GCCGGGCAUGGUGGCUCACGCCUGUAAUCCCAGCAUUUUGGGAGGCUGAGACGGGUGGAUCACCUGAGGUCAGGAGUUCGAGACCAGCCUGGCCAACAUGGUGAAACCCCGUCUCUA